UCCUCUUUAGUUCAAUGGACAGAACACGGGUCUUCUAAACCCACGAUAUAGGUUCGAUUCCUAUAAGGGGAGCCA
rnacentral:tRNA from 1 species